AGGAAAAGCAUUGUCCUAGAUGUG
rnacentral:siRNA from 1 species